rnacentral:lncRNA from 1 species
UCAAUUCAUCCAUAUAAUAUUGUCAGUAACAUUACCCAUAUUUCCUUUUCCUUAUAACUAAAGGAAAAUUAUAUCCAACAGCACAAGAACCAUAAAGAAAACAGAAUGUAGCACAGCACAUUAGCCUGCGCUGAUGAGCUCAGAACCUCAAGCACUUCGGCAAUGGUUGCAUUCAUACCAAUCUAGAGAAGCAUGAAUAUGCAUAUCUCACAAUCGAGUUUCACUCCUUUUUCUAGUAAUUUCUCAAAUAAUUCUAACAUUUGUUAAUAUUUGUAGUUAACAGAUCAAAAUUUCCAAGGGAACAUAUGUUUACAAGGGUAGGCCUGUAGAAUUACAACUGUUAAUAGCGUGGAAACAUAGAAGAAGGGAGCGCCCCAAAAUUGCAAGGUCAGGCCAUCUAUUCAGCUCUAUAGCCAAACAAUUCAUCUUCUCCCUAGGAAAGAAUAGCAUAUUUUCAUCAUAAUUUUUAUUUUUUAGAUGUUAGAAACUUUAGGAACCCAGCUUAAACGACAUUACUAUUUCAUGAAAUGAGAACAAAAAAGAAAAACAAAUUACAAAAAAUCCCCAAUCCAUCUAAAUCAAACAAACGACUACAAACAAAUCAAUCUGAUAUCAAGCUACACAUACAUCAAUCCAGUUCAACUAGUGAAUGUUAAAAAGUACAGGACUAAAUAUUAAAAAUAACCAGAGAGCCAGUGUUAAGGAAAUCGAUUUUAAGUAAAGAAAAACAAACUGAACAAUGGGGGAGGCAAGAGGGAGCCAAAAAUGGUUUUUCAAUUGAUAAAUCCUAAACCCUAAAACACAAAGCCUUGGAUCUUAUACAUAAAAAAGAAACAUGGAGGUGAGAAACAACCUUUGGGGCCACAACCGUGGCUGCCUUGACCACAAGGGCUCUGAAACUCCUGGAGACUCAGCUCAACGGCUUCAUAGAAGAAACCCUAACAAGAGAGGGUCUCAAUCGGAAGCCUCUGCUUGAAACAGAGGAACCAGCAAACUGAAUAGAAGACAUAAAUCUCCGUACAGAAAACCCAGAACCAAUAAGCAAUCUGAAGAUAAAUAUAGAGUUCCAAAUCUUUUUAAUAAAAAAAUAGCUAGGUUAAUAGAGCAACACUCAAGCAGUUAGAGAGAGAAAAUGCAGCUCCAGCAAGAGCAACAAGAAACACUGAAAUUGUUAGUUGGAGAAGUAAAAAGAGAGAACUCACAGUUGCAGAAGGAAGCGAAAGAAACAAAGGUAUUGUAGAGAGAAUGUAGAACUACGAAUUUCAGGACUAAAAUAAGAGCUUCAGGGUAAACUUGUGUUUAGAGAGUGAGACCAAAGGGCCGUUUGGAUACCUGAAAAUAUAUUGUCUAUGAAAUAUAUUACUGUCGUGAAUCCACCAGCAAAAAGAGUAAUUUUGUGGCUUCUAUGAAAGACUACAGAGAAGCUCAGAAUUCUCCGAACAAUUGAUUUAACCAUAGUUUUGGAGAGAGGGAAAUGAACCCCUGAAUGCAGCCACUUUUUGCAGGCUUUGUGAAAGCUAGGACAGGACUUUAGAGAAAGAAAAUAGCAGUGGAGUUUAGAGAGAAAACGUAGUAGUGGAUAUGAGCAUGAGAGAGGGAGCAUGCGGGAGGGAGAAUGGCAGCAGAUAAACUAUUUUUUUUUUGGGCAAGCGACGGGUGUAGUUCGAUUACCC